CCUGAAUUUUAAUCAACAACAACAACAUGCUGAGUGAGAAGUAAACACAUGUACUUCCUGCUUGAAGCAGCCGGCAUUUGACAGAUUUCAACGGUUGUGACUGAAGGCCUUGUUUUGAGGGUGUUUUGCAGACCAGUGGUUGUCGGCCUGGGGAUUUUCAAGAAAAACUGUAGACUGCCCCCGAAAUACAACGCCUUUGCAGCAACAUUUACAACAAUGAAUUUUAAUCGAUUUUAAUUAAAUUUUAAAAGUAAUAAAUUAAACUUUCUACUAGUAAUAUUUAUGAAAGCUUGCUAUGUAUAGUUUCAUAAAUUGGUCAAUGAAAACUUAAGUUAUAGGAAGAAACCACCUGUUUGAUGUUGUUCACCCGCCCUUUCUCAAAAAGCUGGUUAAAACAACAGCACAAAGAAACAUACUAGAAAUGUAUUUUGAAUAUAUUGUCAUCCACAUACAUUAAUAUACAAUGCAUUUUUAUGUCUUUAUGCGAAAUAUCUGAAGCACAAUACAGCGGUGAUAGAUUUGGGCAGUGUUCAAUAUGUGUUUAAAUUGUUAAAUCGUCACUUUAUGACGUUUCUCUGUAAACCCAAUUGCGAUAGGUAUCGUCCCAGAUUAGCAUUCCGCUCAUUGUUUAAGCCUGGUUUUCCUAGAUAGAUAUGAGCAGUGAUGAAUAUGUUUUAAACUGUUGAACAUAUAAAUUCCUCUUACCGAGGAAUAGCCGCUAUGGCCGCCUCAGUGAGUUGUCACCCUUCAGCCGCGGUACGGACCGUAACGUGCGGACACCUGCCAUUCUGACGAGAGGAAACAAUAGCCUACGGAAGUCAGUAUUGACGCCAUCACAACCUGUCACUAUUCCGUAGCCGCUGCCGCAGAGAGACUGCAUGAUGUCACAUGUGUGUCGUUUUUUGCGGAGACGCCCUCAAAACCACGUGGGGGCUAAAACGGCACGAGGACAGGCACCGCGGCUUGUCAAAUUAUUCUUGCUGUGAGAAGCAAUUUAGUAAUUUAGUACAAAAGAGGACCUCACCAGACACAUGUAAGUAUUUGUGUAUGAAAUGAAUAGCUACAUGUGAGCAAAGCUCGAUUAGUAAACAAAUCGUAUACUAGUACCUUAAACUGUUUUGAAACAAAAACUUGAGUGUGCUCCCCUUUCGAGCGGCUGGUGAGUCAGAUUUUGUUUACGUCGACAAAAGCAUAUACAUGUGGCUAAGCUGAAAGAAAUAACAAACACCUUAGCACUUUUGACGAUACACAGAAAUCAUCAUAGACACCCUUUAAAUGAUACUCAAAAUUUACAGAAAAUGUUCAAACAAGUAAAAUAGUUU